GUGGUCAAGCUACUAAGGGCGUAUGGUGGAUGCCUUGGCACCAAAAGGCGAUGAAGGACGUGGCCAGCUGCGAUAAGCCUCGGGGAGGAGCACACAUCUUUAGAUCCGGGGAUUUCCGAAUGGGGCAACCCCUUCCGAGUAAUGUCGGAAGACUUACCGAUGAAUACAUAGUCGGAUAAGGGCAAACUGAGUGAAUUGAAACAUCUUAGUAACUCAAGGAAGAGAAAGUAAAAACGAUUUCCCAAGUAGCGGCGAGCGAACGGGAAAGAGCCUAAACCAGUAUCAUGUAAGCCUGCAAGCGUUGUGCUACUGGUGUAGUGGGAUAUCGACGGAGGUCUUUGCAGAGACUUCGGAGAGUCAAAAACCUUAUAAUUAGUUGAAUUGUUCUGGAAAGACAAACCGCAGAGGGUGAAAGUCCCGUAAGCGAAAAUUGUAAGGCUCUUUGGUCGGUACUCCCGAGUACCACGGGACACGAGAAAUCUUGUGGGAAUCCACCUGGACCAUCAGGUAAGGCUAAAUACUCUUUGGUGACCGAUAGUGAACUAGUACCGUGAGGGAAAGGCGAAAAGAACUCCUAGCGGAGAGUGAAAUAGAACCUGAAACCAUACGCUUACAAGCGGUCGGAGCCGCUCCAUUGUUUUUUAACAAUGGAAGGUGACGGCGUGCCUUUUGCAUAAUGAGUCAGCGAGUUACUCCUGUACUGCAAGGUUAAAGUUUAAAGACUGGAGCCGAAGCGAAAGCAAGUCCUAACUGGGCGAUUUAGUAGUAUGGGGUAGACCCGAAACUGGGUGAUCUAUCCAUGGCCAGGAUGAAGUCUCGGUAAAACGAGAUGGAGGUCCGAACCAGGGUCGGUUGAAAACGGCUUGGAUGAGCUGUGGAUCGGAGUGAAAGGCUAAUCAAACCCAGCGAUAUCUGGUUCUCCUCGAAAUGUCUUUAGGGACAGCCUCGUACGAAGUGUGUCGGAGGUAGAGCACUGAUUGGGCUAGGGCUCUCACAAGGGUACCGAUUCCUGUCAAACUACGAAUGCCGAUUACAUAAUAUACGGGAGUGAGGCUGCGGGGGAUAAGCUCCGCAACCGAAAGGAAAAGAAUCCAGACCGCCAGUUAAGGCCCCUAAAUGUAAGUUAAGUGCGAAAGGAUGUGUGGUCGCACAGACAGCUAGGAUGUUGGCUUAGAAGCAGCCAUCAUUUAAAGAGUGCGUAACUGCUCACUAGUCAAGGGAUCAUGCGCCGAUAAUGUAACGGGACUAAGCUUACUGCCGAAACUGCGGAUCCAAGUUAGGGAAAAGAGUACCCAUCGCGGAGUGCAAAGUGGAAAGUAUUCACUUCGGUGUUUACCGGAAGCGGCGGACAAAACGAUGUUCAGACUCAGCUCCUUUUGAUGCUUGGGUGGUAGAGGAGCGUUCCAUUCACCAUCGAAGGUGUCUUGUGAGAGGCGCUGGAGGGGAUGGAAGCGAGUAUGCUGACAUAAGUAGCGAUAAUCCCGGUUAAAAUCCGGGACACCGAAAGCCUAAGGUUUCCUGAGUAAAGUUCGACUGCUCAGGGUUAGUCGGAUCCUAAGCUGAGGCCGAAAGGCGUAAGCGAUGGAAAACAGGUUAAAUAUUCCUGUACCACCGGUAGUUUGUUUGAACUAUGGGGUGACGCAGAAGUGAAAGAUCAGCCCGGUGUUGAAUGUCCGGGUUUAAGCAAGUAGGAGGGCUUGGCAGGCAAAUCCACCGAGCCAUUACUCCGAGAUGCGAAUAGGAGCGCUUAGCGCAUAAACUGAUCCUAAUCAUGCUGCCAAGAAAAACCUCUAUGUUAGAACUACAGGUGACCGUACCGCAAACCGACACAGGUAGGCGAGAUGAGAAUUCUCAGGUGCGCGGGAUACCCCUGGUUAAGGAACUCGGCAAAAUUACUCCGUAACUUCGGGAGAAGGAGUGCCCUUAUUAGGUGAUUCCCCUUGCGGGAGGAGCCGAAAAGGGUCGCAGUGAAGAGGCUCGAGCGACUGUUUACUAAAAACACAGGUCUCUGCUAAGUCGUAAGACGAAAUAUAGAGACUGACACCUGCCCGGUGCCGGAAGGUUAAGGGGAUUUGUUAUCCUGACUUGUCAGGAGAAGCUUUGAACCGAAGCCCCGGUAAACGGCGGCCGUAACUAUAACGGUCCUAAGGUAGCGAAAUUCAUUGUCGGGUAAGUUCCGACCCGCACGAAUGGUGCAACGACUUGAGCGCUGUCUCGACCAGGGACCCGGUGAAAUUGUAGUGCCGGUGAAGAUGCCGGCUACCCGCGACAGGACGGAAAGACCCCGUGAACCUUUACUAUAGCUUGGCAUUGGACUUUAGCUUCGUAUGUGUAGGAUAGGUGGGAGACUUUGAAGCUCGGGCGCUAGCACGAGUGGAGUCAACCUUGAAAUACCACCCCUAUGUUGUUGUAGUUCUAACCGGCCGCCGUGAAACCGGCGUCGGGACAUUGUCUGGUGGGUAGUUUGACUGGGGCGGUCGCCUCCCAAAAAGUAACGGAGGCGCCCAAAGGUUCCCUCAGUACGGUUGGUAACCGUGCGUAGAGUGUAAAAGCAUAAGGGAGCUUGACUGCGACCCAUACAGGGGGAGCAGGUGCGAAAGCAGGGUUUAGUGAUCCGGCGGUUGCGUAUGGAAGCGCCGUCGCUCAACGGACAAAAGGUACUCUGGGGAUAACAGGCUGAUACCGCCCAAGAGUUCA
rnacentral:rRNA from 1 species